AAAUCAGAAGCAAAAUUGUAGGGGAAGCCAAAUAGUGUUUCUGCAGUUGUGUUGGACCAGUUGCUGUAUAAGUGACAAACCUGGGAUCAUUCCAUUUUGAGGUCUCCUGCAAUGAACCAGUUGAAAGCAGAGGGAGAAUUCAAAUCACUAUCUAUGAACUACUUGAGCGUUAAAUAUGAAAUGGUACUGAAAAUUCUAGACUUCAGACAGCUAGCCCAAUGUGAAGAACUGUCUGGUUACUUAGUGCAUACAAAAUUUCACAUCCAGGAGCAUGAAGAAAGAUCUCUUGCUGCUUCACGUGCAGCUUGUAGACUCUACCUCUCAG